rnacentral:lncRNA from 1 species
UUUUGAAACGCUUGACGGCGGCGAGAAGCUCAUUUCGCUUGCGCUCGUCUUCGGUGGCUGAACCUGUGCAGGGCCUAGGAACGUUUUAUAUUAAUUCAAAAUGUCCAAAAUGCAGCGGACAAUCUGUGUUAUAUUACUCUCUUUCGUCUUUGCUUACGACCAUAAGCAGGCGGUCUGAUAUAGUCACGUGGCGGCAAUGACUUCUGCAGUCAGUGGGGUCGUGGGCAGCCAUUUUCAAUUUACUACGCAUUGUAUUUGAGGCAAUAAAGUAUUAACAUGAAAGGAAAUAGCUGCACCGGGCAAUUUUUUUCUGCUUGUUUUCCUUUGUGCCUCAGUGGACUAAGGGCCUUACAUGAAAAAUUCAAACCCAGCUUUUUGAUUUUCAAGUGUGCAGAUCAGGAUUCCUAAUGUCGAACAUUGCCCUGUUAUGGCUUUUCAAAGGAUGAGCAAGUGGAAGAACAUUUGCUGAAUGAACUGAUCAACACCUGGGCUCGUGAUGAGAAAUGGAUUGAUUCAUCGUCAGUAUGGAAAAGCUGCUCCAAGGAAAAUGUCUUACCUCAUCAAAAGCUGAACUGCACAGUGUAGAGAAAGGUUUCCUUUUGGGCUGAUGUACAGAGAGGAUUCUACCAGCGUUUAAAAAAAGAUUCUUGUUAAGCUGCUGACACAGGUAACUUAACUUAUUUCAAAUGAAUUAACAAAUCAUGCAAAUAUCUUGUAGUACAGACAUCCUCAUAGAUCAAUGUGGACCUCUUUUUAGUUAUCAGGUGCACAGCUAAAUGAGUGAACAUUUUUUGUGCACACUGCACUUCAGUGAAUGCUGGCCUUUUAUGUUACAACAGAUUUAGGUGAAGUAUUGUCAUCUGUAAUAGUUGAAAUGAAAAGUUACUAGCUGUGCAUUGGCUGACAAAAGAGAAAAUAAGUGCAUAUGUGCUACUAUGUUAUGUUAUACUAUGUGCCAACACAUUUAACAUUUAUUCAUGAUUCUGUGGUGUAUUAGGAUUCACCUUCAAUUUUAAAAAGUCGCUAAGCGAUAUGUACAAUACUUAGUAUAUCUGCAUAAGUUAAGUUAUAUUUUGACUUGUGCUUAAGCAUUUUUGUGAAAGAAACAUCACAGCAAGAAGGAGUGAAUUUGUAUUCGCAGCUGCAGAAAUAGCUAGGGUACAAAAAUGCUGAUGUCCAUGACUUGUCUUUGAUAUGUAAGAUAUUAAGGGUCCAUGGCAUUUUUAUCCUCCCACGGCAGUUGUACUCAUUACUGUGUUCGGUUUUUUUUUUGUUUUUUUUUUUUUGUUUUUUCCUCCAUUGUGAAAUGGUCUUCUUGCUUCUAUUCGCCCCCAGUGGAGCAUGGGGCCACAAUGUGAUACAUAAAGAUAACUUAUUGAGAGGAGGCAUUGUUUUUUUAGAUACUAGUUAAUUGGAAAAUUUAAUUUUGUAGUAUUUUUUCCUCUUGCUUUAAAUUAACUUCUUCUGAAAGUUGUUCUUUUCUUGCUCAUUCCUUUCAUCUUGCUGCGUUCUUGUAAGGUUCAGUACAUCUCAUCUAAUCAAGGUGUGGGGAAGUUUUAGUGUGGUACAUGUUAUCAUUGUUUGUCCUGAGCUCCAGCCUAUCCGUUCGUAGUUUCUUAAAGAAAAUUCUGUUUUCUUUGUUCAGGUCCGUCCCAUUAACAGCAAUCUUUACAUUUUUAAGGGGGAUAGAACUUUACCAUCAAAUUUAAGAAUUGAUAAUUGUUUGCUCUUGACUUGUUGGUGGCCUUUUUGGGUUUCACCACUCCUUUUUAUACUUGACCCACUCUUUUACAUCUUGUUUUUUUCUCGCAUUUACUUUUUAAAUGUUAAGGUUAUAUCACUCCAGAGGUUUAUAGGAACACAUUUUGAUCUUUGAAAACUAAAAGAAAUGCACACACAUUGUUCUUGUCCAUAGAAAUUCACAAAUGAUGCCAGAAUUCUAAAAAUCCGAGGAACUAGCCGCACAUUUCUCGUAUAUCAUCUCGCCAUUUUUUUUCAAGGGGAAAAGAAAGGUUACUCUGGGAAAUUGACUCAAGGGAAGUAAUUGUGUUCAGAAAUCCCUAAGCUAUCGUAACUAAGCAAUUUCUUUACUUAAAAAAAAAAAAAAAAAAAAGAGCGCUGUAAACGCUUUAAAAAAAAACAAAAACAAAACAAAAACAUGAUGGCAUGCACGCCUGUUGCGCGGAGGAGGACUGUGCGCGGGUGCGGGCCUAGGAUCCCGUCGAGCGGGAAGCCCGGUGUCAUGCCAGCGUGCCAUCGACUAGACAACGAGAUGUACGAAAUCCGCCGCAAGAUACUACAGAACUGAUCGCGUGAGACUAAAUAAGAGAGGCACACAAGGCAGCGAAAUACAGGUGCUUUCCAAUUGCUUCCGACUGACAACAGCUCCAGAUUGGAGCCUGUAUCAGCAUCGUGUGGACUUCACCAACAGAAAGCAACAAACUGAAGCAAGCACUUCUGGCUCCUCAUAAGGAGAUUUUAGAACUAGUGCAGGUUUGUUGUUAUGCUAAGAUUACCUUUUGUUGCUGUGUUACAGCCCUAGUUACUGGUACGGCAUUAAACACAAACCAUGAUAUACUAAUGUCCAUGUAAGAGACAUGGAUAACAUACAAGGGACAGGAAAUCAAAGGAAUAACACAUCAACUAAUAAAGAAUAAACAACAGCGCACCAAUGAUAAACAAAAGCAAGUACAGAAUCCGCAAAGAGGAACCAAAUAUGUCCCAUGGGCAGGGUUAGAAUUGGACACAAUUCUGUUUGGCCAUGUGAUCUGUCAGAUCUUCUCAAAGUUUGUACUUUGAAGUACUCUGGGUGUGUUAGGGUAUGACUGCUUGCAUAUAUUUUGGUCUUUAUGGUGGCCUUGCAAUGUGGGUUAUAUCCAGUCCAUGUGAGGAUUAGGUGUACUUUUCUCUCAAUGACAGUCCACAAUUGUGUGUCUACUAAUCUCUUUCACUUCUUGCUGCUUGCUCACUAUUUUCAUAGUUUCAUUAUUGCUUAUACGGAAAGAUAUGCCAAUGUCUUUUGUCACGGCAUCGAUACUGAUAUUCAUAAUGUUGCUCCUUUACUGUCCAUUUUCAGUUUUUUUUCUGUCUCCACUGCAUAGAGCACACCCCCAUUGGAAUUGAUUGUGUACUGUAUAAAUCCUUCAGUUAUUGUUAGUACCUUUAUUUUCAAAUAAUCGAGACUGCCAUCACAUCCUUGGUGGUCCAUCAUGUGGUGAGUGAAUAGUCUUAUUCCAUCUGAAUGUGCACUAUGCCCACCAUUGACAGAAAAUGCGCCUGUAACACUUAGAAACUUAAUAGCAUGGCAGUUAUAAGUUGCAAUACUUUCGCAGUGUAAGCCCUCAUGCAUCAUCAUUGUCAGUCAUUAAUAUAUCAAUUGUGCUUUGCACUUUACACGUGAAAUAAAACAAUGUAAUUUUAAUUUACCUUUUGCAUAUUAAGAGGUAGAUAAAAUAGGCUGGGUCACAUGGUGCGCAUGGAAAUCCACCACUUUCAAAAAAUCAUUAAACAAAGAGAUAGAAAAAUUUUUUAAAUGAUAAUAAGAGAACAAAAUUAAACAAAAAUAUUUCUACCUGAAUCCUGCAUGGAUAGAAUAAUCCUGUGUCACUGUCAUUACCUCCCACCUCCAUUUCAUCUUUAGAACUGUCGAAUACCAUAUCGCAGGCCUCGCGCAACAUGUACCAUCUCGCCAUGUUUCCGAACGAAAAAGAACGGGCAGUAUGGGAAAUUUCCGGGAAUUCUCGUAAACGCACUUCCUUUCACGUGAAAGGGAGAUAAUUUUGUUCAGAUAUGAUUAUUCUAGCUGAAUUAUGCAUUUUUUCUCGUAAAUUACGAGUUGUACAUGUCUUUAAAAAAUAUAACAAUGCAUCCAUCACGGUUGGGUGACGCGCAAGCCUAAAGAAGCCGUUUGAAUCCCACCGGUGUCCUACACGCUGUGAAAGUGUUUUAAAACGAAAAAAGAAAAUAAGCCAUACUCACAAACCACUGAACCAAACAUGCACCGGCAUUACUAGCUCUUACAAAUAUUACAUAACAAGCGCUUGGGCACCUUACUUUCUGUUAUCUACAUGCAUUGGCAAUGAAGCCAUUUGGUGCAUGAAUCACGUGCAAUCAUUGCCUUCUCUGCAUUGUUGGGUUGUCUGCAGAUGCAGAACACUUCCUCCUGCAGUUCCUUACCAGUUCCUUUCUAGGCCAAGGUUGCACAGGAAAUAUGGGCAAAUGCAAGAGCAAACAACCCACGUUACAGACCCCUGCUGUUUCUUUACAUUAACAAAUUUAAUUGUAAUGUACUAGGCAUCUGUAAAUAGAAGCCAGCCUAACUGCUUUACUAAUUUUUCCUUACACUCCUCUCUCACUGUGUUAAAAAAAAAUCAUCAACCCUUAUCUCACCUGGUUCAAAGCAAUGAAUGUUACUCACCAUAACUUAGUGGUUAUCUACGUUUAAAACCUGCACAAAUUUUCUUCUUGGCGUUCCCACACGCUGGCAUUCUUCCGAUUGAAAGACAGCCAGCAUUUGUAGGCCAUCAACUGGAGGAAACUGCUCCUUCAAAAGAGCUGAGAAAUGGUCGAUAUGGAGAUCCGUAAGUUCUCUCUUCGUGUCGAGUGUCCUCUUUAUUUCGGCAAUGCUCUGUGUUUGUCUCAUAGCAGGAACUAUUGGCAGUGGUGCUGCUUAGGCCCAAUCGUCCUGGAAAAAACAUCGUCAUCGUGUGUUGGCACAGACUUUCGUGUCUUUCCUCUCUUACUAUCUAAACCAGAGUCUCCAUUAGUGACAUCAGUAAGGGUGAGAUUAGCUGCCAUAAACAGUAAAUCCAUCCCAGUGUUCUCCCGAGUUGUGGCACAAGGCAAGUGUUCCUUGCUCUUCAAGUUUCCUCAGGUUAUCUGAAACAAAAACUGUAUCAUUAUUGGAACCAUUUAAUAUCUUAAAUCAUUUUGUCUUUCUCACUACCUCUGGGGGUACAUUGUGUUACCCUCUUUGCAGUCCUCUUGUCCAAGGAGUUAUAUGUUCCACGCUGCUUUCUUGGGUUUGUCUCCGCUGCAAUAAAAUCAUCAUUAUAAUUAUCUACAUUACCUACUCCCAUGUGCAGUAUCGAUGUGCGCUGUGCUGUGCAGAAUUCUGAGCAGCCACCGGUACUUGCUCAACUUUUUCCUUACUGACGUGAGUCGUUAUGAGACCUCCCAGAUAGGUCUAAAGUUGGUCAUAUGGUACCCGCGCUCGUAACAGCUCUCCAUUGCCUCCCUCCUUGGCCAGUUGUACUCUGUUGUGUGUGUUUAUGUCCAGGAUCCUGUCACAGAAAUACAAUAAUAGCCCAAAACUUUAAAGAUUGGAAAAAGAACUGCUAAAUCAUUCUUGCUAGCAGUAAAAGAAAAUCCAUAAAUGAAACAAUUACAAAAGUACCUGUUAGCUGCCAAGAACCGAAACAGUGCUCUAAAAUUUUUUUAGCUGUAGCCAACCACUUUUAUUUCCAGGUAUGUAUGCAUAAAGACUUAUACAAAUAUGUAGUUUGUGCCUAAAUAGCAGUGAUACCUGAAAGGGCCAAUCCAAGGUUUGUCCAAAGCAUCACCACAUCUUCCUUUGUUUCUGACAUUUUGUCUUACAACAAGAUCCCCAACCUUCAAGUCAAAGGUUUUUAUGUCUUUUGAAAUCCGCUUUUUAUAGGCCUUCCUCAGUUUCUUGCUCGCAUGGUCCUGGUUUUCCAUGACCUGUGGAAAAACUAUAUUUGUCAGCUCAUUCCUUUCAGAACAGUAUUUCACUCGCUCCUGGUUACAUGCUGCAGCUAAAAGCAAUUUCUUGGUAAAUAGUUGGGUACUGCCUCUUCCUCAUUUCGGGGUCAUCGUGGUCUGCAGAUAUCGUGUCCAAUAAUGGUUCUUCAUCAUCUUUUGGCUCUUCCUCGCCACUGGGGAUUAAUACCACACCUGUGUCUUUGUCUGCUUCCUCCAUUUGCAAUAGACAGUUACAUAGCUAACUUAAGCUUGUUAUCCAGCAUAUUCCAUUUCAUGCACUACUUGUUGUUAAAUUGCAUAAAUGGUUCAUAACUAAUGGUUAAUAACAAGGAUAAUUAAUCAAAUUACAAAAAAAGGGGGAAGAGAAACUCACAUCGAAUAUCUAGGCUGGCGCCCAAACAUCAGAAAGAAUGGCGAAUACUUGGUAGAUGUUUGUUUUUGACAUCUGUAGAGGGCCGGCGCUUGUUAGGUUUUGGAGUAAGUGCUGAUGCGGACGCAUGUGAGAAAAGUGCUGAUGCAUGCGAUUGCAAGGAUCGCCCAGUUUACCGAAAUGGGAAGAAUAGAUGAUCAGAGAGAGCGCAGACAUGUGACAGUAGGCGACAGCCUGACUUAGCGCCUCUGGCGAUGUGGAGCAGCCGUGGCCAUUGUGCAAGCAUGUGUAAUAAAGGUUCGCACACCCGCUGACAGUUCCUGCCUUUUGGUUGAGUGUUGGACUGUUGUGGUCACUGUUUGACUACCUUACCACUCGGUUACACAUCUAGUGGUAACAGAAACAUCUUUCACUACUUCAUCCCAGUCGCAAUUGUGCUGUUCCACCAUUUUCGAACAACAGGUCUUGACUGUUUUAUUCAUACGUUCCACAAGACCAUUAGUUUGCGGGUGGUAUGCAGAAGACGCACUUUUUUUAAUGUUUAACCUCCGGCACAGCUCCGUAUUAGCCCGUUACCUUGUGACAUGCAGUUAGUCCUUUCAAGUCUCUAGCUAUGAAAGUUAUGUGUGCUAAAGCGCUGUUAAUAAUCUUUAAAUAUUAAUUUUUAAAAAGGGAUAAUGCAAUGCAACACAGAAACGGUCACAUUGCAACUAUACUUGUGUUGCCACAGCUACAAUUUAAUAGCACAAUAUAUACCACUGAUACUACAGUUACGUUUGGAACACCAGAAAAAAAUGAAUGAAGGAUGACAGGGGAGAGAAAAGAUUUGGUUCACGAUUCUAUUCCCUAUCUCCCGUCCAUCUGUAACUUGACUCAUUAACGUCCAGAAUCUGCGUUGUCAAUCUCUCCAGUAACAGAGUUACUCCAGUCGUAAUGUGUGAACUGGAAAACCCUUUAUUUACACUAUGUACAUCCGUUCUCACUGUAAUAUACACUCGGCGACUCCUGCCGGUAACUAACAACAGCGACACACGCUGUUACUUCAACUAAUAACACACGCUAUGCGUUGUGGCGAUACUUCAACUGCACAACGCCGAUAACAUCA